AAAUUUUACGGGAGAGGAAACGAACACACCCUCGCACACCCUCGGUACUUAGCUGAAUCAGAUGGUCCAGGAUAUUGAAUGGCUAGCAAAUCCUUAGAAAUAAUGGAAGCUCGUCCUCGUGUUGCUACCAAACUGGCGAAUUAUGAUGAGUUCGUGGUACCAGUUCUGCUACCAGUCGUGUCUCUGCAACCAACGGCAAAACAGGCGUGUCUGAACUGAUGCAAACUCUUGUUCGGGACCGGCAACCCGUAAUUGACACCGAACACUAAUCAGGGUUAUCAGCUAGCGUCUGGUAGCAAGAUUAUUGGCAAAUUCCCAACAUUUGGGGAACUACGAUCUUGUCUAGAUGCUAGAGAAGGGC